CUCGCCACCAUCGCAUCCCUCACUGCAUGGUCCCUUUGGCGACACCGGAACGCGAUCAUCUUCGACAAGAUUAUCCCCUCCUCCUCCUCCCUGAUCGCCGCGAUCAAAGAUGAAGCUCGCUCCUGGGCCACCGCGGGAGCUCGAGGUCUCGCUGCGCGUAAUCCUGUAACCUGA
rnacentral:rRNA from 1 species